rfam:Echinostoma caproni strain Egypt genome assembly, scaffold: ECPE_scaffold0007634
ACACUGCUAACGAGUCUCAAACAGGACGAAACAGCUGUCCAGUGC